rnacentral:rRNA from 1 species
GAUGAACGCUGGCGGCGUGCCUAAUACAUGCAAGUCGAGCGAACGGACGAGAAGCUUGCUUCUCUGAUGUUAGCGGCGGACGGGUGAGUAACACGUGGAUAACCUACCUAUAAGACUGGGAUAACUUCGGGAAACCGUAGCUAAUACCGGAUAAUAUUUUGAACCGCAUGGUUCAAAAGUGAAAGACGGUCUUGCUGUCACUUAUAGAUGGAUCCGCGCUGCAUUAGCUAGUUGGUAAGGUAACGGCUUACCAAGGCAACGAUGCAUAGCCGACCUGAGAGGGUGAUCGGCCACACUGGAACUGAGACACGGUCCAGACUCCUACGGGAGGCAGCAGUAGGGAAUCUUCCGCAAUGGGCGAAAGCCUGACGGAGCAACGCCGCGUGAGUGAUGAAGGUCUUCGGAUCGUAAAACUCUGUUAUUAGGGAAGAACAUAUGUGUAAGUAACUGUGCACAUCUUGACGGUACCUAAUCAGAAAGCCACGGCUAACUACGUGCCAGCAGCCGCGGUAAUACGUAGGUGGCAAGCGUUAUCCGGAAUUAUUGGGCGUAAAGCGCGCGUAGGCGGUUUUUUAGUCUGAUGUGAAAGCCCACGGCUCAACCGUGGAGGGUCAUUGGAAACUGGAAAACUUGAGUGCGGAAGAGGAAAGUGGAAUUCCAUGUGUAGCGGUGAAAUGCGCAGAGAUAUGGAGGAACACCAGUGGCGAAGGCGACUUUCUGGUCUGUAACUGACGCUGAUGUGCGAAAGCGUGGGGAUCAAACAGGAUUAGAUACCCUGGUAGUCCACGCCGUAAACGAUGAGUGCUAAGUGUUAGGGGGUUUCCGCCCCUUAGUGCUGCAGCUAACGCAUUAAGCACUCCGCCUGGGGAGUACGACCGCAAGGUUGAAACUCAAAGGAAUUGACGGGGACCCGCACAAGCGGUGGAGCAUGUGGUUUAAUUCGAAGCAACGCGAAGAACCUUACCAAAUCUUGACAUCCUUUGACAACUCUAGAGAUAGAGCCUUCCCCUUCGGGGGACAAAGUGACAGGUGGUGCAUGGUUGUCGUCAGCUCGUGUCGUGAGAUGUUGGGUUAAGUCCCGCAACGAGCGCAACCCUUAAGCUUAGUUGCCAUCAUUAAGUUGGGCACCCUAAGUUGACUGCCGGUGACAAACCGGAGGAAGGUGGGGAUGACGUCAAAUCAUCAUGCCCCUUAUGAUUUGGGCUACACACGUGCUACAAUGGACAAUACAAAGGGCAGCGAAACCGCGAGGUCAAGCAAAUCCCAUAAAGUUGUUCUCAGUUCGGAUUGUAGUCUGCAACUCGACUACAUGAAGCUGGAAUCGCUAGUAAUCGUAGAUCAGCAUGCUACGGUGAAUACGUUCCCGGGUCU